UACGUAGGGUGCAAGCGUUGUCCGGAAUUAUUGGGCGUAAAGAGCUCGUAGGCGGUCUGUCGCGUCGGAUGUGAAAACCCAGGGCUCAACCCUGGGCCUGCAUUCGAUACGGGCAGACUAGAGUUCGGUAGGGGAGACUGGAAUUCCUGGUGUAGCGGUGAAAUGCGCAGAUAUCAGGAAGAACACCCGUGGCGAAAGCGGCUCUCUGGAACGGUACUGACGCUGAGACGCGAAAGCGUGGGGAGCGAACAGG
rnacentral:rRNA from 1 species